AAGAGAUUUUUCUCUUUUUUCUUCUGAGCCGCCUCUGAGAAGCCUCUGUAUGUGCACGAUGUGGCUGAUCUGGGAUAAUCGUGCUGUGCGCAGUGCUUAAGGAGAACAUUGCCCUAAAAUGGCGGGCUAAGGAAUAGCCUAAAAAACCUAAAAGGCUCGGGAAAAGCUCAAGAGAACACCGAUGGGCUCUGGGAAGCCCCAGUGAUGCUAGCGAAAACAGCGUGGCUUUUAGGCACCUCCUCAGAGCAGCAGCAAUGUCUCGCUCCAGCCUAUGGGACAAUGGGGACUCUUAAUUACCGCCUUGAAUUACCACAAGUGUUGCGAAAGCAGAAGGGACUAGGGAGCAUGCAGAGCAGGUUGUGGACUAUAUGUCAAGUUUAAACAAGCAACAAGCCCCUCUGCAAAUAGAAACAGGUUUAGCCCGAAGUAAUAGACGAAGGUAGCUGUGAGUAACGUGAAGCGAAGCGGUGACGUCGGUCACCCCGAAAGCCUCGGAGAAGCGGUCUGAAAAUCUGGUACCCUCGCGGCCUCGGCAGUCUUUUUGGUUUGUUUGGCAGGGCAGCCCACCGAAGGGGGACAUCUCGAAGAGAAGCAGCAAGACCUGGGGAUCCGGUGGUUCAUUUUGGUCAUCGCCUGUGAGGCCAGCGUCCGAGCGUAAGAGGAAGCUAGGAGCUGUGUCGAAAAGAGAUGGAACCAAGGACAGCAAAUGCUGACGAAGAGAAGAGACGGACAAGCGUUUUCUUGUGGUUAAUACCGAAGGGACGGGAUGAAACAAGGAAGCCAGAAUGCAGCGGCCCCUCGAUAUCACCAGGAACUGCUGCAGGAGGAGGCGUUCUGGCACGGGUAACUAAGGCAGCUACGGAAAGGAAUAGAUGUCAUCCUUACUUUUUUAGAUUAAUUGCCACGGCUGAAGUUGAAGAGACCAAGAAAGGUACGCACCGAAAGGGCACAUCUUGAAGAGAGGCGGCUAGACCUAGCGAUCCAGUUGUUCGUUUUGGUCGUCGCCUGUGAGGCCAGCGUCCGAGCGUAAGAGGAAGCUAGGAGCUGUCUCAAAAAGAGAUGGAACCAAGGACAGCAAAUGCUGACGAAGAGAAGAGACGGACAAG